rnacentral:tmRNA from 1 species
CCUCUUUUUUACCCGCGCCGCACCGUCUAUAUCUGAGGUGCCGGCGCAAGCCGGCUAUGGCGAUAAACGGCCGUCGGAAUAAACCUUUCGGACCCGGGGGCAGUACCCGGCGGCUCCACCCAAGCCCGGCGCGGACGGGCUUCGGCGGGGCCGAACUAGGAUCGACGAGGGUGUAAAGGGCGGGCUUUUGCCCGGAAUCGUCCCAACGUUAUCGGGGCAUAUCCAUAGUUGCCAACGACAACUAUGCUCCGGUUGCUCAGGCUGCGUAAGGCAGUCUGAAAGACCGAACUUAAAGCCCUGACGGGUUAAGCUCCGUCAGGCGGGGUUCGGAGGCACCUGGCAACAGAAGCCUCCACU